AGCUUUUCAAAUUUAUAUCUAAUUUUUUCCAUCAUAUGAUUGGUCUUUUUAACCUUCAGCUAUAGAAGGCUUAUGCGACCUAAACUAUCACAUAAAUUCCCAUAAUCUAUAUUAUGACCUAAAUCACCUCCCAUAAUUAAACUAUGGCUAGAUCUAUAGUUAUAGGUAAUAGAUGGUAGUUAAAAAAUAUUUAAUCUUAAUAAAUCCACAUGGUGGACGAAAGAGAGGUCUUAAAAUUUAUAAAAAUUAUCUACUCCCUGAAUUAUUAAAAAGUGAUAUAUUACAUUCAACAGUAAUAACAGAAAAAAGUAACCAUGCCAGGGAGUUAGUUCAAAAUUUGAAUAUAAAUGAAUGGCAUGGAAUUAUUACAAUAUCAGGGGAUGGACUAAUUUAUGAAGUAAUUUAUA